UACGUAGGGUGCGAGCGUUAAUCGGCAUUACUGGGCGUAAAGCGUGCGCAGGCGGCUUUGCAAGACAGAUGUGAAAUCCCCGGGCUCAACCUGGGAACUGCAUUUGUGACUGCAAGGCUAGAGUACGGCAGAGGGGGAUGGAAUUCCGCGUGUAGCAGUGAAAUGCGUAGAUAUGCGGAGGAACACCAAUGGCGAAGGCAAUCCCC
rnacentral:rRNA from 1 species